GGAUUCUCUGGAGAUGAACAGAAAUGCAGGUCCAGAAAUUCAAGCCUCGGGUAUGAGCAAGGCGAUGAUGCUUCUGGAGUCUGGGGAGGAUCUCUCCUAUCCCUUCCGGUUCCCAGGGCUCCAGGCAUUCCUUGGAUAGUCGACUCUGGCUCAGGCUUUGGAUCCUGGGAAAAUACUCACUUCCUUACUUCUCUCAGCCCUCAUCUGGCUUGCCACAUUCUCCUGCAAGUGACCAGCCGACAUGGUUGAACCCAGUAGACUAUGCUACGUGGAAUAAGCCAGUCACAGAAUAUGGUAAAGUUUGCCUGGGGUCUGUGGGUCCAAAAGAAAGGCAGGCAGAAAGAAGCGUGGUAUUUUUGUUGUUGUUAUUAUUUUGUUUUUGUUUUUUGUUUUUUUCUGUGAUCUGGAUUUGAGUCUGUCUUCAUCACUUUUCAGUUGCUGUGAUAACAUACCCUGACUCACAGGGUUUGUUCUGCCUCACAGUACAAGGUAUCCAUCAAGGCAGAGCUGUGAAUCCAAUGGGAGUUUUAAGCGGCUGUCCAAAUUACAGCCACAGUCAGGAAGAAGAGCAAGGAACACAUGCUCAGCUAGGUUUCUCCAGUUAUACAGACCAGGAUUCUGGCUAGGGACUGCCAUCACCCACAGUGGGUAGGUCGUCUUACCUCAACUAAUGCAAUCAAGACAAUCUCCCACAGAAAUGUCUCCCCGAGAUCCUUCUCCAGGUGAUUCCAAUCUCUAUCAACUUGAUAAUUAAUUUAGAACACCUUGCUUUCUUAUGAGGUUGAGCAUAUUAUUUAACCGUUUUGUGUUUGGGGCCCUCGCCUAGUUGGAAGUAAAACAAGUAUGUGAACUUUACCCAGGAGAGAGUAGAAGCGGGGACAUGGCAGUUGAUUAGUACACACCACUCUGAAAAUCCAUCUGCUGAACCCUGAUGCUGGGCACUGGCAGAGAGUUGAACACUGCGCUAGAAGAGCCCCUAGGUAGCAACUGCCAAAGCCGGCUGACUGAAAUCAUCUUCCUCACUGUCCACGACAAGCCCAGCACUGUCUUAUAAAUAGGCAUUAUUUCCAUCUAGGACUCUUGCCUGCGCGUUCAUUAAUUUGAAUCCAUUGCUCCUAAUUUUAACCCCCUCCCACUAAAUGCAUCUCU
rnacentral:lncRNA from 1 species